AGGCUUAUUUGUGGCAUCCUUUCGUAAUACAUUCUCUUUUUCAAUAAAUGUUUUCCCAAGACCUUUGCAUCCAGGGGAUUUUUUUGAAUUCAAAAUCUAAGCCAUUGAUUGGCCUUUUUUUGCGUCAAAGUGGGAGUGCAGGCGACUCAACUUACUUCACGACAAGCGGCCAUUUGGCAGACGUGAGCAAAAACUCUCCAAAAAUGAAGCUUCAAGCUGUUUAUUGACACACUCAGCUGAAAGUGAGGUUAUGUUCUGCCACCCAAGCUUCUUUUUCCUCUCAAACAAAGUUCCAAAAUUGAUGGAGGGAGACGUACUACAAAGGUGGGUGCCCAUGCAUCAUAUGAUUCCAUCUUUUUUUUUUUCCUUUUCACCCCAACAUUUCAAUUCCCUCUUCAGCAUUACAGCGCAAGCUUGACCUCCGAGUAAUGACUUUUUGGUAGUUAAACCUCUGACUAUAGCAUUUAAUUACUGUCUGUAUAUUAUGUCCAAAGUCUCCAGCCAUUCGCAUUGUCAUCAAACCCCAGGCAACAAGUGAAUAUCACCUGCAGGUACCCCGGGGCUCAAAUGAUGAGUAAUAAAGUUCUUCCAAAUCAACAACUUCAAAUCUACUUCCUUUAUUGUAUUACCAAUACUGAAAAUCAAGAAGAUAAAGACACAUGGUACUUGAAUGAAUUAAACCUGCAUAUUUAGGACUAAGACAAGGUUUCAAGGGCACUCAGACGUCCCUUUACGCAGAGGUUCCUCUCGUGAUACGAGCCAUAAACGAGGGACCCUUGGGUUGAACUCUGCAACCUGAGCAGCUAUUGAAAUCCACAAUUGUCACCAAUGUUUUUGAGUCGAGGCAAGGGUUCAU